GACGAGCACCAGCAGGCAGAGUUUGAGGCGGCUGUUACACAGUCUGCACGCUGCCGAGGAGCUGAGGGAGGUUCGGUGCUGGCACGACGGAAAGCCCGCCACAGUGGGAGAUGAGGGCUGGACCAAAAACUCCAGCAGCAAGUGAUGAACCAACAGUGCGGCCCAUUCAGGGUCCAAAGAGAAUGAAGAGACAGCCCUGAGGACGUGACAAACUUGGCAAGAGGUCAAUGACGCCAUCACUACGGUGAGGGUUAAACGCGUCCUUAAGGACACCGCCAUGUCGGGAAGGUCGGGAUAAUUCGUACCUUGUGACGCGAGAGAUAAAACUGUGGGGUCAGCCGGGACACUGGGGAGAGGAACUCACAUCUCAAAGGGUGAAGAACCUGGCUGAAAUACUUUUGAAUUGAAUUACUUGUUCUCAAAGCUAUUUUAGAAGGUUGUAAAGAGCCAAUUGUCUGUUGUCUUUUUUUUUUCCCAUCCUUACUUGCAAGCUGGUAGUUUAAACAAAUCUAGUGUGUUGUUAAAACAAAUACAUUACUGUAUUGUGACUCAAUAAAAAUGGAAUAAAACUGCUACAUAUUUCCUCAAAUAAAA